UUGAUAGGCUGUAGGUGUAAGUGUAGUGAUACAUUCAGCUUGACAGUACUAAUAGGUCGAGAGCUUGACCAU
rnacentral:rRNA from 1 species